AGACAGACAGAUGGAGUUGAGUGGCGAGGUGAUGGCUUUGAGGAGUGUAGCCUACCUCUGACUUCAUCAAGUCAGUAUCAGUCGAUACUUGUUAAGAACAUUAACAAAAUGGAAGAAAAUGAAACAUUCUACAAGAACCAAUAUCACUUCCUAACAACACGACCUUAUGGAACAAUACUUGGGUAGCGUUUCAAAAUUCACCGAUAAAUUGGGCCACAUGGAAAACUAAAGGCAUAGAAACUGUAAAUAACUUUAACAGGAAAUGCAUCUAUUUCGAUUACAGAAUUAAAAAGUAAUUUUGGACUGACAAAUAUAGAUAGUUUAAAAUGAAAACUUACGUAUCACACAAUUUUGAAGAGCAACCUUAACAUUAUGACCAAACCGGCUCCACGUGUGCACAUGGUGAGUUUGUCUAUCCCCACCAGACGCGAUCAGGACACAGGUUGAAAUAUCAAAACGAAUUCUGAACCAACUAUAUUAAUUUGGGGCCAGGUCGAAACAUUCAUGGACAUUUAGCUAGCUAGCUAGCUUGCUGUUGCUAGUUAAUUUGUUCUGGGGUGAUUGAAAGAUGAACGAGGUCCACACUCCAGUCAGUAGCGGUAAACACACCUUAAAGUUUAUUGUCAACCGCCAUAUAAAGUCCACAGAAGAACUAGGAGAGAUUACUAGAAACUAACUUAGUUUCCCUUUUUAUCUGUGGAUUAAUUGUCGUAGUAGAGCGCACAUGAUUUUGUGUGACUCAAAAUGGGUCAAAAUUCUACGAAGAUCCAGCAAAAAAAAGGACCUUGUACAUUUCAGGUAAAAUAACAACCCAAUGUUUAUACAUUGACCAGCUGGGGCAAAUCUGUGAAGACCUGGGUGUGAGCAGCAAACUACAUCCUCGUGAGAUUUCUUUUCUCAAGCAGUACAGUACAGUCCUACAGCCACUCACAUCCUCUAUUGAUCUUCAGGGAGAAGAAGUGUUUUCUUGGCUUUCUUAUCCCAACAACAAGCUUGAAGUCUAAUACCUCUUGCGACAUUCUCUGUACACAUCAUCACUGCGGUCAUUGAGGCUAUAGACUGCCGGUUUGGACCUAUGCUAAGCACCCAUGAAGCAAAAAUGGCACCUGCUACAGUGACAAAGUUUCGACUGUGUUGGCACAACCCUGGAAAGAGGGAGGAGAUGCAGAGCACAUUAGUUCAAGAAACAGCUUCUAUGUAGAACACACACUCCGAAGAGGUUGAUGAGGGAGCACAGAAUGAUUCUGAGUCAGAAGACACUUUUUUUCCCGGAGGUGCAACAACUAGGGCCCGUGGCACUGCAGAGGACAAGGUGAGGAAGUACCUCAAAGACAAGUCUUUGGACUCCUUGAAAUCGUUUCCCAUAGUCCAGAACUUGUUUCUGAAGUACAACACUCCAGUGCCCCAGUUGAGCGUCUUUUCAGCUAUGGUGGAAACAGGAUGCCUGGUGCUCAUCUAGAGCAUGUCAUUUUGCUGCAAUACAACAGCAAUUUCUGCCUUCAAUCAUCUGAGUAGGCUAGCUUCAGAAUAGGCCUACUGCAAAUGCCAUGUCUGAUAUGUUGGUUUAUUGCACCUAGCUCGGACUAAAUGUGUAAAAAAAAAAAAAAAAAAAAAAAUCGACCUAUUUCUCAUUUUAGUCAUUUAGCAGACACUUAUCCAGAGCGACUUACAGUAGUGAGUGGAAACAUUUUCAUACCUUUUUGUACCGGUGUCCCGUGGAUAAGUGUUUAGCACCAUCUAUGUUACUUAAGCCCUUACUUAUACCUGGUUUAACAUGUAUACUUUGUCCUGCACAUUGUGUUUGUGCCCACAUUUUUAGACCGGUGUACACGAUUAAAAGAUGCAUUGUGGUCUGACUGAUCAGAUCAUAUAAGUGUAAAUGGACAAGAUCAGGAUGAAGGACGAAUGAUUGAGGCAGGUGAAGUAAUCCAAAAGAAACGGAAAGUAAUCAGAUUACGUUAGAGUUUAGGUAAUCCAAAAGUUUCGUUACUGAUUACAAUUUUAGACAGGUAACUAACGGAUUACAUUUAAAAAGUAACCUACCCAACCCUGUUGACAGUGAGAUCAGUUCAGCACCCUACAUUGCAGUCCAGGUGGAUGACACCACAGACAUAUCCUGCAAAUGUCAAUUAACAUUCAUAGCACACUAUGUCAAAGAUCAGGGUGUUAUACUGAAGACAAAUAUAAGUGCAAAAUGCAACAAUUUUGAAGAUUGAGUUACAGUUCAUAUUAGGAAAUCAGAAAUGUUUUAUAAAUUCAUUAAGCCCUAAUCUAAUCGACUGCAUUCUUAUGUCACUAGCCACUUUAACUAUGCCACUUUGUUUACUUUGUCUACAUACUCAUCUCAUAUGUAUAUACUGUACUCGAUACCAUCUACUGUAUGCUGCUCUGUACCAUCACUCAUUCAUAUAUCCUUAUGUACAUAUUCCUUAUCCCCUUACACUGUGUAUAAGACAGUAGUUUUGGAAUUGUUAGUUAGAUUACUUGUUGGUUAUCACUGCAUUGUCGGAACUAGAAGCACAAGCAUUUCGCUACACUCGCAUUAACAUCUGCUAACCAUGUGUAUGUGACAAAUAAAAUUUGAUUUGAUUUGAUCUAUGGAUUUCACAAGACUGGAAAUACAAAUACAGGAACUGGAACACGGUUGUCAUACACGUCGAUUCAGAGCAUCCCAAAAAUGCUCAAUGGGUGACACGUCUGAGUAUGCAGGCCAUGGAAGAACUGGGACGCUUCCAGGAAUUGUGUACAGAUCCUUGCGACAAGGGGACAUGCAUUAUCAUGCUGAAACAUGAGGUGAUGGCGGCGGAUGACUGGCACGUCAAUGGGCCUCAGUCUCGUCACGGUAUCCCUGUGCAUUCAAAUUGAUAAAAUGCAAUUGUGUUCAUUGUCCGUAGCUAAUGUCUGCCCAUCCCAUAGCCCCACCACCACCAUUGGGCACUCUGGUCACAACGUUGACGUCAGCAAACCCGCUCAGCCACACGACGCCAUACACGUGGUCUGUGGUUGUGAGGUCGGUUGGACAUACUGCGAAAUUCUCCAAAAUGACGUAGGCGGCUUAUGGUAGAGCAGUGAACAUUAAAUUAUCUGGCAAUAGCUCCGGUGGACAUUCCUGCAGUCAGCAUGCCAAUUGCACACUCCCUCAACUUGAUAUCUGUCGCAUUGUUUUGCAUGACAAAACUGCACAUUUUAGAGUUGCUUUUUAUUGUCCCCAGCACAAGCUGCACCCGUGCAGAUCAUACUGUUUAAUCAGCAACUUGAUAUGGCCUCCUGGACAGAUACCGACAGCUGUACUUUGAAAUACUCAAUGGAAUCAUACUACACAUAACCCAGAGGUUUGCUGACGUGAAGAGCCUCAACUUUUUACGUGUUCUUGAUCAUGGUUCAUUUCCAGAGUACUCAAAACAAGAGGGGUUCCCUGACAGAGAACUCACACCGCUGUUCCAGACGUACCCUUUUUUGACAACGAGAGGUUGGAAAAUGAGCUGCAGCUAGUCUAUGCUGAUGCCUCCUUCCACUAACCACCAGGUGAGCUGCUGCAAUCACUUGUGAAAAAGGACCUGAAUGGGUGCUUCUCCCUAUAAUUAGCCUACAACGUGUCAAAGUGCAUUGCGUUUGCAUUUCCCAUUAAACUAAUCUUGCUGCGUCGGACACACGGUUCUUGGUUUCAAUGGCUCAUUAUGUAAGUAUAUCAGUCUAAUCUCGAAAGGCCAUGAAGUAGGUACAGAAGCGAGGUGAAUUUUACAAUCAAAUAGGAAAUCACCAUCAUAACCUAAACCUACUAGUGAAAAAGGAACUGUAACUAGUCAACCGUGAACACCAUGUAAACUAGUGGUCUGUACUGUAAUUGAUUAUUCUAACUAUAGUUGAUUGUUGAAGGUGCAGAAUUCUGUGUGCGGCGGAUUGACAGGGGUGUCCUGUACAAAUGAGCAAUGCCAGUGGAACUCAGCGACGCAGCCAAAUCUAUCCCCAAAAAGGUUGAGCGAGAUCUGUCGCAAACGUCACAAACCAAGUGACAAGUUCUCAACCAGCACUCUCCAUACAACCUGUGUACCACUCACAACAUAUUUAAAAAGAGUUUGGAAGGGGCCAAUGUUCCAGUGGGGAGCAUUCUGCACAAGUGCAUAAAAGCUAAACCAAACAGUCCUCAAGUUCCAGCGGCAGCCACACAGCUCCAGCAGCCUCAUGGUGAACAUGGCAUCAACAUGCAGUGUCAGAAACGCUUGUCAUUUUAUGACGUUGAUGUUAAGCUGGAGGAGUGUAAAUGUGCCAGCCUUUAGGAGGUCACUAAAGCACAGAGUGCAUCCCAUGUGUUGUAGUCAGCAAAGGUUCCUGUGCGCACCUCAACAAAUCCAGACAACUUUGUGCGGGAGCAUCUCUUCCCAAGGUUCCAUGGGAACUCAGCAACCACAUAUGGCAAGGAGAACGAGCAGGUUGCCUACACAUGGAUGGAGAGUUGUGGGUUUAGUCAGGAGAGUAGAAGCACAGUAGUGAGUGACAAGGAGCCAUGGCUUUCUGCAAGCCCAUAUAGUGUUAAACUCUCAAGAAAUUCUAGAAAUCAAAUGUCCUGUUGUAAGAAAUGUGAGUCUCUGACUAAACUGUUCUCUGGCUAACUAACAGAUGUGAUGGAUGGGGUUCCUCUGCAACCUAAUGGAGCCCUUGGGUAUUACAUGAAGGUGCAAAUGGGCAUGUUCUGCACAGAACUGGUGAGAUGUAAACUGCUUGUCUGGCUCUAUCCGAGCAGGUUGUUAUUGAUGUGAAGUUCUGUGCUGAUGUUAUCUCUAAACUGAAGUUAUUCUAUUUCACACAUGCUGCCAAGGAUAGUAGAUGAGUUUUAGUUAGGCAGACUAACUCUGUGGUCCAAAUAUGUUAAUCUGUGGUAUUUAGGCUCGUGCCUAAUACUUGUGUUUUUGAAUAGUUCUUAUAUUUUGAGCAUUGUAAACCUCUGUCAGCUCUACCUUAUUAUCCAAGCAUAACUCUUGGUCUUUUUUUCCCCACAGCUCUCUUCAUAUACACAUUUACCUGAUUUAUAUUUGCAUAAUUCUUGUUUUUGUCUUGCCUUGUACAGCUCUCUUCAUACAUGUUUAUCUAAUGCCUACGGAUAACUCCUUAUGAUUUAUGAAUAUAUUUUUAUUGAACCUUUCAUAGCGCUUUCUUUUCAUAAUGACACUUCAUUAACUUAUUAUGCGAACAUACCGUAACUCAUCUUACACUUGGAAAAUGAUGGUGUUAAAAAAACACUGAAAUUGCACUUGACAUUUUCUUUGUUCCUUAACCUUUUGAAAUGAAGGACAAGGAGGCAUGUCAAAGGGUUUCAAAUGUGUUUCCUGUUUCAUUCUGGUUUUGGUUUUCAAGUGCACAAAUUAAGAAAACAGUGUGGCUGGCACUUGAUAAACAGUUGUCUUCCCUCUUGGUGUGUUGAAGAAAAUGUAUUGUAAAUAUAUUUAAGAAGGCAUGAUAGCGGCACCUAGUGGAUGCCUGUAAUUAUCAGAAACAUGCAAAGUUACAGUACAUUUCAAAUGUAGGAACAUACUACAAAUGAUUCAGAUUAAAUAGUAAAACAUAUACAUUGCAUUCAGAAAGUUCAGACCCCUUCCCCUUUUCCACAUUUUGUUCAGUUACAGCCUUAUUCUGAUUUCUCAUCAAUCUACACACAAUACCCCAUAAUGACAAAGCGAAAACCGUUUUAGAAAUGUUUAAUUUAUUAAAAAGAAAAACUAGAAAUACCUUAUUUACAUAAGUAUUCAGAGCCUUUACUAUGAGACCCCCGUUUCCAUUGAUCAUCCUUGAUGUUUUUACAACUUGAUUGGAGUCCACCUGUGGUAAAUUCAGUUGAUUGGACAUGAUUUAGAAAGGCACACCUGUCUAUAUAAGGUCCCACAGUUGACAGUGCAUGUCAGAACAAAAACUGUAGAGCUCCGAGACAGGAUUGUGUCGAGGCACAGAUCUGGGGAAGGGUACCAAAAAAAAUGUAUGCAGCAUUGAAGGUCCCCAAGAACACAGUAACCUCCAUCAUUCUUAAAUGGAAGUUUAGAAAGACCAAGACUUCCUAGAGCUGGCCGCCUGACCAAACUGAGCAAUCGGGGGAGAAGGGCCUUGGUCAGGGAGGUGACCGAGAGCAGAAUGGUCACUCUGAUAGAGCUCCAGAGUUCCUCUGUGGAGAUGGGAGAACCUUCCAGAAGGACAACCAUCUCUGCAGCACUCCACUAAUCAGGCUUUUAUGGUAGAGUGGCCAGACGGAAGCCACUCCUUAGUAAAUGGCACAUGACAGACCGCUUAGAGUUUUCCAAAAGGCACCUAAAGACCCUGACCAUGAGAAACAAGAUUCUCUGGUCUAAUGAAACCAAAAUUUGAACGAUUUGGCUUGAAUGCCAAGCGUCAAGUCUGGAGGAAACCUGGCACCAUCUCUAUGGUGAAGCAGGGACUGGGAGACUAGUCAGGAUCGAGGGAAAGAUAAACGGAGCAAAGUACAGAGAGAUCCUUGAUGAAAACCUGCUCCAGAGCGCUCAGGACCUCAGAUUGGGGCGAAGGUUCACCUUCCAACAGGAUUGGCUUCGGGACAAGUCUCUGAAUGUCCUUGAGUGGCCCAGCCUGAGCCCGGACUUGAACCUGAUGGAACAUCUCUAGAGAGACCUGAAAAUAGCGGUGCAGCGACGUUCCCCAUCCAACCUGACAGAACUUGAGAGGAUCUGCAGAGAAGAAUGGCAGAAACUCCCCAAAUAGUAGUGUGCCAAGCCUGUAGUGUCAUACCCAAAAACUCGAGGCUGUAAUUGCUGCCAAAGGUGCUUCAACAAAGUACUGAGUAAAGAGGCUGAAUACUUAUGUAAAUGUGAUAUUUCAGUUGUUUUUGUAUACAUUUCCAAAAAUGUAUACAACUUGUUUUUGCUUGGUCAUUGUGGGCUAUUGUGUGUAGAUCGACGAGAGAGAACAUUUUUAUAUAUUUUAGAAUUAGACUAACAAAAUGUGGAAAAUGUCAAAGGGUCUAAAUACUUUCCAGAUGCACUGUACACACACAGUAUCUCAUGUGGAUGAAAUGAGUGUAUAAUGUUACAUUUCAGAUGUAUGAACAUUCUCACUGCUCACUCGGCAUCCUCAUGGAUGAUCUCACCCUGCAUGUUAACAAGUGCUGCACCGAUGCUGAG